rnacentral:lncRNA from 1 species
AUGCAGAAUGAAUUGCAAAACCCAUUAGCAACUUUGAAAGAUGCCUACUAUGAUGUAACCUUAAAGCCACUGGAUGAAGUUUGGCAGGAGAAGACAGAAGAGUACAUGAAAAAAGUCCAGGCAUUUUUGCCCAGGAUUAUAAAAGAUGUUUGGCUAAUGGAGCCAAUCCAGAUGACAUUAAGGACUGUUAAAAUAGGCUUGGAUAUGGUUGGUAUAAAUAAUUUAUUAAUUUUUAAUAUUUUGAAGGAAAAGGCUUACAAAUUUAAGUCUUAGCUUUGAACUGUGGAUACACAAAAAUACUUAAUAUUUUUAUUUAUGGAAAUUCUGUGGUUAUCUUUCUACAUAAGAAGCUUAUGCACAGCUAGCGUACUGUUCCUGAAAUAUCUAACUUGCUUUGACAGUAGUGCUUCAGUAGGACAACAGGAGAAGGAUUUGCUUUACUGGUUUGGUUCAAAUCAACAGCAGUGAACUGCUGCCAUCCAUGUAGAUUUUGCAUUUUCUGUACAGAGAGGAGGGACUGCGAUUCCAAUGAACAGUGUACAAACAGUUUUGGACUCCUGUAGUUGAAAUGAUAAAGGACAUAUCAUGACACAAAUUUAUAUUAAGAAAGAUAUCAAUCCCUUUAUAAGCCCCUGUAGAACAUUAACUCAGAGAAGUAUUGGUGUACAAUAAGUAAUGUUCUUUUAGGAAAGAUAUAUAUUUCUAUCCACUUUUUUUUUUCUGGAACAACUAAAGUCUGUCUUCUGGAUACUAACCACUAAAUGACAAGGUGCUGUCAGGCGAGUGAUAAAUGCAAGAGAGGUUAAAGUGCAAUUUCUCUGAUUGUUGCUUUAAAACUCAUUAUCAAGUAUUGACCCCACACCAAAGCUGUACAGAAGAGUUUUGUAAUCUCCUUUUCUGGCUCUCCAGUAGACCACACAGCAGAUGCUCAGGUGGGCAGAGGCCAUGGUUUCUAGAGCUGUGAGCAAGAUCUGGAAGCCCUUACACAACCUUUACAGUUUUUCAGCCAGGUAAUUGUUUUUCUUUGGAGGACUUCUGCUGCUGGGUACCAUUCUAAAUGGAUAUAUGUGUUAAUCUUAUAUGUUAAUCUUCAUAUUAGCUUAUAUGCUUCAGGCUGAAGAUAGCAACCUGCCCAUUCUCUUCUGUGGGCACAUCAUAUCAUGAUGUUUAUGUUUGUUGUCUACUAGGAUAGCCUGCAUUUCAAAAG